rnacentral:tRNA from 1 species
GUUGUUGUGGGCGAGAGGUUAGGGCGAUGGACUAGAAAUCCAUUAGGGUCUCCCCGCGCAUGAUCUAGUCCUGCCAGCAACG